rnacentral:rRNA from 1 species
UCUAACGAGACCGUACCGCAAACCGACACAGGUGGGCGAGAUGAGUAUUCUAAGGCGCUUGAGAGAACUCGGGAGAAGGAACUCGGCAAAUUGGUACCGUAACUUCGGGAUAAGGUACGCCCUUGUAGUUUGACUGGCCUGCGCCAGAAGGACGAAGGGGUUGCAAUAAAUUGGUGGCUGCGACUGUUUAAUAAAAACACAGCACUCUGCAAACACGAAAGUGGACGUAUAGGGUGUGACUCCUGCCCGGUGCUGGAAGAUUAAAUGAUGGGGUGCAAGCUCUUGAUUGAAGUCCCAGUAAACGGCGGCCGUAACUAUAACGGUCCUAAGGUAGCGAAAUUCCUUGUCGGGUAAGUUCCGACCUGCACGAAUGGAGUAACGAUGGCCACACUGUCUCCUCCCGAGACUCAGCGAAGUUGAAAUGUUUGUGAUGAUGCAAUCUACCCGCGGCUAGACGGAAAGACCCCAUGAACCUUUACUGUAGCUUUGCAUUGGACUUUGAACCAAUCUGUGUAGGAUAGGUGGGAGGCUUUGAAGCGGGGACGCCAGUUCUCGUGGAGCCAUCCUUGAAAUACCACCCUGGUUUGUUUGAGGUUCUAACCUUGGUCCGUUAUCCGGAUCGGGGACAGUGCAUGGUAGGCAGUUUGACUGGGGCGGUCUCCUCCCAAAGUGUAACGGAGGAGUUCGAAGGUACGCUAAUUACGGUCGGACAUCGUGAUGAUAGUGCAAUGGCAUAAGCGUGCUUAACUGCGAGACUGACAAGUCGAGCAGGUACGAAAGUAGGACAUAGUGAUCCGGUGGUUCUGUAUGGAAGGGCCAUCGCUCAACGGAUAAAAGGUACUCUGGGGAUAACAGGCUGAUUCCUCCCAAGAGUUCAUAUCGACGGGGGAGUUUGGCACCUCGAUGUCGGCUCAUCACAUCCUGGGGCUGUAGCCGGUCCCAAGGGUAUGGCUGUUCUCCAUUUAAAGUGGUACGUGAGCUGGGUUUAAAACGUCGUGAGACAGUUUGGUCCCUAUCUGCCGUGGGCGUUGGAAAUUUGAAGGGGGCUGCUCCUAGUACGAGAGGACCGGAGUGGACGAACCUCUGGUGUACCGGUUGUCACGCCAGUGGCAUUGCCGGGUAGCUAAGUUCGGAAGAGAUAACCGCUGAAAGCAUCUAAGCGGGAAACUUGCCUUGAGAUGAGAUUUCCCAGAGCCUUGAGCUCUUUAAAGGGUCGUUCGAGACCAGGACGUUGAUAGGCUGGGUGUGGAAGUGAAAGA